ensembl:misc_RNA
ACAGCUUUGGACAAAAGUCUAUAGCCAGUGCAUUUGAAAACUCCCCUUGCACCAGGGCUGACUGUAGCUGGGGGAAGACAUUUUACUCAUUUGCUCUUUCCUUUCAUACAGUCAGCUGGUCCCUCUUCUCAGGUGUAGAUCACCUAUUAUAAUUUUACCUAAUUUUGAUACUCUGAUAAGGAAAGUCCCAGGACUUAUCAGCUGGGAUAGGCCUCACUUACAAGACAGCUCU